rnacentral:rRNA from 1 species
UACGGUGGGGGCAAGCGUUGUUCGGAAUUACUGGGCGUAAAGGGCGCGUAGGCGGUUCGCUAAGUCGGAUGUGAAAACUCUGGGCUCAACCCAGAGCCUGCAUCCGAAACUGGCGGGCUAGAGUUCUGGAGGGGGUAGCGGAAUUCCUGGUGUAGCGGUGAAAUGCGUAGAUAUCAGGAGGAACACCGGUGGCGAAGGCGGCUACCUGGACAGAAACUGACGCUGAGGCGCGAAAGCUAGGGGAGCAAACAGG